GACGAACGCUGGCGGCGUGCUUAACACAUGCAAGUCGAACGGAAAGGCCCUGCUUUUGUUGGGUUCUCGAGUGGCGAACGGGUGAGUAACACGUGAGUAACCUGCCCUUGACUUUGGGAUAACUUCAGGAAACUGGGGCUAAUACCGGAGAGGAUCUCCUGCUGCAUGGUGGGGGUUGGAAAGUUUCGGCGGUUGGGGAUGGACUCGCGGCUUAUCAGCUUGUUGGUGGGGUAGUGGCUUACCAAGGCUUUGACGGGUAGCCGGCCUGGGAGGGUGACCGGCGACAUUGGGACUGAGAUACGGCCCAGAAUCCUACGGGAGGCAGCAGUGGGGAAUAUUGCACAAUGGGCGGAAGCCUGAUGCAGCAACGCCGCGUGCGGGAUGACGGCCUUCGGGUUGUAAACCGCUUUCGCCUGUGACGAAGCGUGAGUGACGGUAAUGGGUAAAGAAGCACCGGCUAACUACGUG
rnacentral:rRNA from 1 species